rnacentral:misc_RNA from 1 species
UACGAAAUCUAACUUGGUCAAGUGUAAAGGUGGCAAGGGCAAGAACAUGGCAGAGCUUAGAACUUGGAUGGAAACUCUUACGGGCAUGGAGGAUUACUCCGACAAGAAAUUCACCAGCUUCGUAGAAAACAUCAACGACAAGUUCAUCGACAAGCUAAUUCAUAACCUGGAGGAGCGAUUCCAAGAUUCCGAAAUCUUGGAAUUGUUCCAAGCUUUCAGGCCUGGUACUGAAGACGAGGAGCCGAUUCAGCCCUUUAACGACGAUCUUGAGACACUCUGCCAACACUUCGACGUUGACUUUCAGCAGGCGGAAACCGAGAUGAUUCACAUGAGAGAAGUUGCUCCCAGAACAACUCAAAGAGCGUAAGAGAAUAUCUACAGCUCGUCGCAAGCAGCUACAACGAUGUGGCACCUCUCAUGGCCAGAAUGGCUUCUGCUGCCUUGGUUGUACCCGUCACCACAGCAGAUUGCGAACGUGGGUUCUCCUGUUUGAACCGCAUCAAGACAAAAAGUCGGAACAGAAUGAGCCGGAUGCUUGAGCCACUCCUCUGGCUGUCCUUAGAAGGGAAGGCGUACAACGAAUUGCCGGAUUCCUUUUUCGAAGCGGUGGCUGAUAGCUGGGCUCUUGCUGC